UUGACGGGGCCGCACAAGCGGUGGAGCAUGUGGUUUAAUUCGAUGAUACGCGAAGAACCUUACCGGGUUUGACAUGCAGGUGAUCGCCGUUGAAAGACGGUUUCCUCUUCGGAGGCACCUGCACAGGUGCUGCAUGGCUGUCGUCAACUCGUGUCGUGAGAUGUUGGGUUAAGUCCCGCAACGAGCGCAACCCUUAUCCCUAGUUGCCAUCAGGUAAAGCUGGGAACUCUGGGGAGACUGCCGGUGAUAAACCGGAGGAAGGCGGGGAUGACGUCAAGUCCUCGUGGCCCUUACAUCCCGGGCUACACACGUGCUACAAUGGCAGGUACAGAGGGCUGCGAAGCCGCGAGGUGGAGCGAAUCCCAGAAAACCUGUCUCAGUCCGGAUUGAAGUCUGCAACUCGACUUCAUGAAGGCGGAAUCGCUAGUAACCGCGAAUCAGCAGGUCGCGGUGAAUACGUUCCCGGGCCUU
rnacentral:rRNA from 1 species